AGCGACGUCAAAGCGUUCAUUAAAGUCGAGUUGGCUUAGGGAUACGUUCGUUGGGUAGGGGAGCGUUCUGUAAGCCUGUGAAGGUGUGUCGUGAGGCAUGCUGGAGGUAUCAGAAGUGCGAAUGCUGACAUAAGUAACGAUAAAGCGGGUGAAAAGCCCGCUCGCCGGAAGACCAAGGGUUCCUGUCCAACGUUAAUCGGGGCAGGGUGAGUCGACCCCUAAGGCGAGGCCGAAAGGCGUAGUCGAUGGGAAACGGGUUAAUAUUCCCGUACUUGGUGUUACUGCGAAGGGGGGACGGAGAAGGCUAUGUUGGCCGGGCGACGGUUGUCCCGGUUUAAGCGUGUAGGUGUGUGUUCCAGGUAAAUCCGGUUCACUUUAACACUGAGGCGUGACGACGAGGCACUACGGUGCUGAAGCAACAAAUGCCCUGCUUCCAGGAAAAGCCUCUAAGCAUCAGGUAACACGAAAUCGUACCCCAAACCGACACAGGUGGUCAGGUAGAGAAUACCAAGGCGCUUGAGAGAACUCGGGUGAAGGAACUAGGCAAAAUGGUGCCGUAACUUCGGGAGAAGGCACGCUGACACGUAGGUGAAGUGAUUUACUCAUGGAGCUGAAGUCAGUCGAAGAUACCAGCUGGCUGCAACUGUUUAUUAAAAACACAGCACUGUGCAAACACGAAAGUGGACGUAUACGGUGUGACGCCUGCCCGGUGCCGGAA
rnacentral:rRNA from 1 species